rnacentral:rRNA from 1 species
AACUUGAGAGUUUGAUCCUGGCUCAGAACGAACGCUGGCGGCAUGCCUAACACAUGCAAGUCGAACGAACCCUUCGGGGUUAGUGGCGCACGGGUGCGUAACGCGUGGGAAUCUGCCCUUUGCUUCGGAAUAACAGUUAGAACUGGCUGCUUAUACGGGAUGAUGUGUUGGGACGAAAGAGUUAUCG